GUUCUUUUCUCGCAUGAGAGAAGAUGGAAAGACGGUUUACGCUGUCACUUAUAGAUGGGCCCGCGGCGCAUUAGCUAGUUGGUGGUGGUAAUGGCUCACCAAGGCGACGAUGCGUAGCCGACCUGAGAGGGUGAUCGGCCACACUGGGACUGAGACACGGCCCAGACAUCCUACGGGAGGCAGCAGUAGGGAAUCUUCCGCAAUGGACGAAAGUCUGACGGAGCAACGCCGCGUGAACGAAGAAGGCCUUCGGGUCGUAAAGUUCUGUUGUUAGGGAAGAACAAGUACCAGAGUAACUGCUGGUACCAGUUGACGGUACCUAACCAGAAAGCCACGGCUAACUACGUGCCAGCAGCCGCGGUAAUACGUAGGUGGCAAGCGUUGUCCGGAAUUAUUGGGCGUAAAGCGCGCGCAGGUGGUUCCUUAAGUCUGAUGUGAAAGCCCACGGCUCAACCGUGGAGGGUCAUUGGAAACUGGGGGACUUGAGUGCAGAAGAGGAAAGUGGAAUUCGCAAGUGUAGCGGUGAAAUGCGUAGAGAUUGUGGAGGAACACGCAGUGGCGAAGGCGACUUUCUGGUCUGUACACACUGACACU
rnacentral:rRNA from 2 species